rnacentral:rRNA from 1 species
UGUGGCCCCAAGUCAGGCGAGGCCACCCGCCGAGUUUAAGCAUAUCA